GAUGAACGCUGGCGGCGUGCUUAACACAUGCAAGUCGAACGGAAAGGCUCCUGCUUGCUGGGGUACUCGAGUGGCGAACGGGUGAGUAACACGUGGGUGAUCUGCCCUGCACUUCGGGAUAAGCCUGGGAAACUGGGUCUAAUACCGGAUAGGACGAUGGUUUGGAUGCCAUUGUGGAAAGUUUUUCGGUGUGGGAUGAGCUCGCGGCCUAUCAGCUUGUUGGUGGGGUAAUGGCCUACCAAGGCGUCGACGGGUAGCCGGCCUGAGAGGGUGUACGGCCACAUUGGGACUGAGAUACGGCCCAGACUCCUACGGGAGGCAGCAGUGGGGAAUAUUGCACAAUGGGCGCAAGCCUGAUGCAGCGACGCCGCGUGGGGGAUGACGGCCUUCGGGUUGUAAACUCCUUUCGCUAGGGACGAAGCGCGAGUGACGGUACCUGGAGAAGAAGCACCGGCUAACUACGUG
rnacentral:rRNA from 1 species